rnacentral:rRNA from 1 species
CCUAGGGAGGCAGCAGUGAGGAAUAUUGGUCAAUGGGCGGAAGCCUGAACCAGCCAAGUCGUGUGAGGGAGUAAGGCCCUACGGGUCGUAAACCUCUUUUGCUGGGGAGCAGAGCUCAGCCCGUGAGCUGGGAGGGAGCGUACCCGGAGAAAAAGCAUCGGCUAACUCCGUGCCAGCAGCCGCGGUAAUACGGAGGAUGCGAGCGUUAUCCGGAUUUAUUGGGUUUAAAGGGUGCGUAGGCGGGCCUUCAGGCCGGCGGUAAAAUUGCGGGGCUCAACCCCGCCGCGCCGUCGGAACCGGGGGCCUUGAGUACCGGGAAAGUACGCGGAAUGCGUGGUGUAGCGGUGAAAUGCAUAGAUAUCACGAAGAACCCCGAUUGCGAAGGCAGCGUACCGGCCGGUCACUGACGCUGAGGCACGAAGGCGCGGGUAUCGAACAGGAUUAGAUACCCGAGUAGUC